rnacentral:rRNA from 1 species
CAGCGCCACAAGUGGUGAUCACGUUUAUUGGGCCUAAAGCGUCCGUAGCCGGUUUGAUAAAUCUUUUGUGAAAUUGUUAGGCUCAACUUAACAACGUGCAGAAGACACUGUCAAGCUAGGAACCGGGAAGAGUCAGAAGUAUUAUUGGGGUAGCGGUAAAAUGCUAUAAUCCUUUUAAGACUACCGAUGGCGAAGGCAUCUGACUAGAACGGCUUCGACGGUGAGGGACGAAAGCCAGGGGAGCAAACCGGAUUAGAUACCCGAGUAGUCC